AACGAACGCUGGCGGCAUGCCUAACACAUGCAAGUCGAACGAGACCUUCGGGUCUAGUGGCGCACGGGUGCGUAACGCGUGGGAACCUGCCCUUAGGUUCGGAAUAACUCCCCGAAAGGGGUGCUAAUACCGGAUAAUGUCUUCGGACCAAAGAUUUAUCGCCUUUGGAUGGGCCCGCGUUGGAUUAGCUAGUUGGUAGGGUAAAAGCCUACCAAGGCGACGAUCCAUAGCUGGUCUGAGAGGAUGAUCAGCCACACUGGGACUGAGACACGGCCCAGACACCCACGGGGGGGGGAGGAGGGGAAAAUAUGGGACGGGGCGAAAGCCCGAUACCCCGCAGCGCCGUGAGUGAGAUAAGGCUUAUGGGUGUAUAGCGCUUUUUCCCGGGAGAUGAUAAAGACAGUCGGGAGAGAAUACGCCCCGGAACACCCC
rnacentral:rRNA from 1 species